AUAUAAAAUAUACAGUACGGCGGAAGCGGGCUGACACGGAGAAAGCUCUCAAAGACAUCCUCUGCAAUGGGAAUUACUCAACAUCAAGAAAUGAGAUAGGAACAGGCUAUGCAGAUCAGUUGAACAAGAAGUCUCGAAUAAAGCCUGUUCAUCAUUCCAAGAGAGCUUCCCACAAGAAGUCGAAACGGAACCAUCGGAGAGAAAAUCCAUUUGAUGGCUAUGAUGACGACCCUGCAAAAACAUUUUUCGCUUCAUUUGGAAAAGACUCCAGUUGAAACUUCAGACACACGGAGCAGAGAAUUUUUACUGGAGUCACAGUAGAUUCAACGAACAGGAUGCUGAAAGUGGGACAGAAUCUCGUUCUUUCAGUAUAGGAACAUACGCUGAUCGCAGAAGCCUUGGUUUGCCAGCAACCGGUCCUUUGAAAAUCGAAGAUGUCAAGGCUGCCUUUCGCUCGUCUGCUCUGAAGUGGCAUCUCGAUAGGCAUCAAGCUUCUUCACGAGCAGUUGCUGAAGAGAAAUUCAAGCAUUGCGUCGAUGCCUACAAAUUAUUAUGCGGGAGUCUUUCUUCGGACUAGUGUAUCUUUCCUAAGUGUGUAAGACGAUGAAGCACAACUUAAUUGAUAGUAACAUGCUUCCUCUUCUACCAAUAGUUUGGAGGUUAAUGAUUAUGGAAAUGAGGUGCAUACUAUGUAAUGAAGUUAAAAAGGUUACAUACUUGCAUCUAAAUUUUCCUUUAAAUAUCAUAUAAAAUUCCAAA